CCCCUCCCAACCGCUCCAGGUGAGAGCUCACCUGACGCCGCGCCUGCCUGGGGACGCGGCGGCGGAACGUGAAGCCCCCCGGGCCUGGAGAGGCUGGGAUGGGGUCCGAGGUGGGGACGAAGGAGUUUGUGCUUCUCCCGGGCGGGGGGAAGGGACGCACAGGAUUCUCUCCCCGGAGGGCAUCGCAGAACUGCCCAGGUGGCAGCACCUGUUACUGAUAAUAAUUCCAACAGCGGCUCCCGUGUACCAAGCUCUACGUGUGUGCCAGGCUCGGCACAUAGCUUCACUGAAGCCUCGAGCCCCCUGUGAGGUUGGGGCAAUCGUUAUCCCCAUUGCACAGGUGAGGAAACUGAGGCUCAGAGAGCUUAAGCAGCUGGUGCCUGUGACCCAGCUCUAAGUAGUGGAAGCAGGAGGUGAGCCCAGCUCCAGGGGAACUGUCACACUGGUUGUGGCUCCCGAUUGGCUGUGUGACUGAGGGCUGCCCAGGCCCAGUGAGACUCACGGUGGCCUUUGCAUCAUUCAUUCCCACGAAGCAUCGGGUACCUUCUGAGUGCUGGUCCUCAAGGUCUGGAGGGGGAGAGAGUGGGGAAAAUAGCUCAUCUCCACAGCUCUGGGCUUGUGGGAUCCCUGAGGAAAGACAUGAGGGGCGGCCCUUGGGACUUACAGCCUUGUGCCAUAAAUGGCUUGUUACUCCCACCUCCCCCUCUGCCCCGUGAGCUCCUCGAGGGCACACCUGCAUUUUAUUUCUCCCUGUGUCCCCGGAGCCUGGCACAGGGCCCAGCAUAGGGUAGAUGCUCAGGACAUAAGUGUUGUUGCCAGCUUGUAACUUUGGUCUGUGCCUUUUUCUGGGGUUGCAGUGAUGGAAAGUGUCCUACUGACACGAUGCAUGCUCACAGCAGCACCCCUUCCCAGGCUCAGAUGCAUGCUCCGUGACACACAUGCAUACACGCUCACACAAACUUUGUCUCUAUGCAACAUGAGUCCAGGCAUUCAGUGACACACAGGCUCCCCCACACCUCCCCCAUGGGUGUCUAAAUUCCUAGGCAGACCCACAGCUGCUCCUGGACCCACACGUUCACACAGGUAUGCAAGAGAAGCAUUCUUAGACAGCCACAUGCAGCUACCUGUCUCCACCGACCAGCCCAAGGCAGCUACAGCUCGGGGCUGGGCUCUCUCCCCCUGCAUCACACACGCACACACACACACAAAC
rnacentral:lncRNA from 1 species